rnacentral:rRNA from 1 species
UACAGAGGGUGCGAGCGUUAAUCGGAGUUACUGGGCGUAAAGGGCGCGUAGGCGGUAGUUUAAGAUUGGUGUGAAAGCCCUGGGCUCAACCUAGGAAGCGCACCAAAGACUGGACUGCUGGAGUACUGUAGAGGGUGGCGGAAUUUCCGGUGUAGCGGUGAAAUGCGUAGAGAUCGGAAAGAACACCAGUGGCGAAGGCGGCCACCUGGACAGAUACUGACGCUGGGGCGCGAGAGCGUGGGGAGCAAACAGG